rnacentral:misc_RNA from 1 species
AACUCGUGCUUAUAUCUGGAAUACAAAUUUAAGUUGAUAAAUUGAUACAAACAUUCGGUUAAUACAUAAUAUAGUUACACCUCUUAGGCGCUUACCUACUUUGUUGAAGGGGUAGUUUUAGCAGAAAUCAUGUUUUUCUCCGAAUUAUAUCUUUUCAAUUAAUCAAUAUGUUAACACGAAAAUUGCUGGAUAUAUUAAGGAAGCAUGAACUUGUUUCAAAAAGAGAUUUAAACACUACAGGGAAGAAGAUAACUUUAUCAAAAGUGCAAAACGUGAAUUUCAUUUCACACUCACAUUAGAUGCAAACUUUAAUAUCAAAUAGUGGUUGCCUUGAAAGGGCAAUUAUGAAAAGGCUCCCAAAGGAUCUACCCAUCAUCCUCAUCGGUGCAUCUGUUGGUGAUAAAUUAGCACAAAGUAACAUAAUUGGAUACGCUAUUGUCUACCUUCUAUUUGGGAAAAUGGAAAAAUUGUCCUAUCACAAGAUUCUUAAUCAACCCAGAAAUAUCGAGAAUUAUAUCCACAAAAUUUGUCUGACUAUGAAGGAAACCAAGUCGUAAUUAGAAACAUCCUCCCUAAAAUAACAGUUUUAUUUAACAUUUAAAUAUAGGUAUAUUUUGUUAAACAAUCUAAGCUUCUACUCGAACGUUUAGAAGAUAUAAUUAGAUCAUACGACGAUAAUGCUGAAAUCAGUCUAACUGAUUGCAGUUUUACAGCAAAAUUAUUAUCAUUUGCUUCUAAUCAACUUUCAUCUCCCGCAUUCCAGCCGAUGAUUAUUUAAGCAUGGCAAACAUUCGGGAUUAAUACACUCUCUAAUAUCGUAAGUUUUAAAAAUGUUUUAAAAAUGUGUAACAACUAGCUGUGACAAAGUUAGUUGCAACGAGCUAUGUGCGAUUCCGUGUAGCUAUGUCCAGUAUGAAGAAAACCUACUUUGCAUUUAUCACAUUUUUGAUCCUUUAUUAUAUUUGCACUAGUCGUAAUAUAUAAUUACGGAAUAAAAUUUCAUAA